rnacentral:lncRNA from 1 species
GCCAUGUGUUGAUCUUGUUUUCCUUUGUUGGUUUUUUUUUUGCAAAUUUAAAUAAAAAAGUGGUGAAACUUAUUUUUAAAAGUGAUGUUGAUUUCAGCAGAAAUAAAUGUCUACAUCUUCGAUAGCAUGUGGGAUAAGGUUGUCCUGUGAGAGAACGUUUUGUGCCGGUGAUUCGGUACUGUGAUUAGAAACACGGUGUGUAAGGUUGUCCUGUGAGAGAACGGUUUGUGCCGGUGAUUCGGUACUGUGAUUAGAAACACGGUGUGUAAGGUUGUCCUGUGAGAGAACGUAUUGUGCCGGUGAUUCGGUACUGUGAUUAGAAACACGGUGUGUAAAGUUGUCCUGUGAGAGAACGUUCUGUGCUGGUGAUUCGGUACUGUGAUUAAAAACACGGUGGGUAAGGUUGUCCUGUGAGAGAACGUUUUGUGCUGGUGAUUCGGUACUGUGAUUAGAAACACGGUGGGUAAGGUUGUCCUGUGAGAGAACGUUCUGUGCUGGUGAUUCAAUACUGUGAUUAGAAACACGGUGGAUAAAGUUGUCCUGUGAGAGAACGUUUUGUGCUGGUGAUUCGGUACUGUGAUUAGAAACACGGUGGAUAAGGUUGUCCUGUGAGAGAACGUUAUGUGCUGGUGAUUCGGUACUGUGAUUAGAAACAAGGUGGGUAAGGUUGUCCUGUGAGAGAACGUUUUGUGCUGGUGAUGCGGUACUGUGAUUAGAAACACGGUGUGUAAGGUUGUCCUGUGAGAGAACGUUCUGUGCUGGUGAUUCGGUACUGUGAUUAGAAACACGGUGGGUAAAGUUGUCCUGUGAGAGAGCGUUCUGUGCUGGUGAUUCGGUACUGUGAUUAGAAACAAGGUGGGUAAGGUUGUCCUGUGAGAGAACGUUCUGUGCUGGUGAUUCGGUACUGUGAUUAGAAACACGGUGGGUAAGGUUGUCCUGUGAGAGAACGUUCUGUGCUGGUGAUUCGGUCUGUGAUUAACGGUGGGUAAGGUUGUCCUGUGAGAGAACGUUCUGUGCUGGUGAUUCGGUACUGUGAUUAGAAACACGGUGGGUAAGGUUGUUCUGUGAGAGAACGUUUUUGAUGGUGAUUCGGUACUGUGAUUAGAAACACGGUGGGUAAGGUUGUCCUGUCAGAGAACGUUCUGUGGUGAUGAUUCGGAACUGUAAUUAGAAACACGGUGGGUAAGGUUGUCCUGUGAUAGAACGUUUUGUGCUGGUGAUUCGGUACUGUGAUUAGAAACACGGAGGAUAAGGUUGUCCUGUGAGAGAACGUUUUGUGCUGGUGAUUCGGUACUGUGAUAAGAAACACGGUGGGUAAGGUUGUCCUGUGAGAGAACGUUCUAUGCUGGUGAUUCGGUACUGUGAUUAGAAACACGGUGGGUAAGGUUGUCCUGUGAGAGAGCAUUCUAUACUUGUGAUUCGGUACUGUAAUUAGAAACACGGUGUGUAAGGUUGUCCUGUGAGAGAAUGUUCUAUGCUGGUGAUUCG